GCUCCUACAGACUAUUUGUUUUUCGAAAGAUGUUCUUCUUGGGGCAGACAUGGACCAACCUCUGUUUACCUCUUCUCUCCUCUUUUCUCUGAACUUCUGCUCUCAAACAACAAAACCCUGGAAGACUCCUCCCACUUCUUCACCCCAUCUCCUCCACCACCUCAUCACCCUCCCACCGCCCGUCCGCCACCCACCUCCCUCCUCACCAGCCCCAACCACCUGGUUGAGCCUACCACCGGAGCCUCCCUCCUCCUCCCACAUCGUUCGUCUCCGAUCCUAACACCCUAGCACUUGCUCCUCUCAGCCGACUACCACAUCUCCCCUCCCCACCUCCGGUUGCCCGACAUCACCUCUCCCACCUCCGCCUUCACCGCCGGCUACACAUCUCCCCUCCGCUCCUGCAACUUCGUCGGCCCCUGCCUUCACCGCCGCUCCUGCAACUUCCCUUUCGCUGUGCUUUCUCCGCAAUGGCUGUUUAAAUCCUGCAAUUCUUCCGGUCUGAUUUCGUUAUUUCCUUAAGAGCUGGUUUAGUGGGUUGUAAGCUAUUUCUAGGUUUUGACACGUAUGUUUGCUUGCUACGUGUAAAAGCCAAAAGCAAUCCUCCCACUGCCAAAACACCACUAAGAUAUGAAAUCUGGAGAUUCAUUCUAGAGAGUGGAAGAGUAACACGCGAGAGAGAGAUGGGAGUGAGAGAAGUGUCACCGGCCGGAAUUCAUAUUCCGACGACGAGGGUAGAUGAUGGUAACAGUGUUACGUUUACCGGAGAAGACGAUGUUCCGGCGAACCUGUUCUCAUCUCCAUGUUUCUCCUAAGUGGCCACCAAGCAAACAAGAAAGAGAUAGAUCGCAUUCAGUUGCAAAUCCAUCUUCGAUGAUGGCGCUGAUGUCACAAGUGAAUUUGAUGUUGGAUAGCUGUAGUUUAUUUGUUGGAUAAUUGGUUAGUGGCGUACCGUUAUGUCCUGUUAUGUUUGAUUUAUAAUUUUCAUUUAGUUGAUUUGCUUUACAUUUUUUGCCUUCAUUUUUAUUAGUGUUAACUUCUUAGCAGGCUGGUUGGCUAUGAGGCCUUUUAUGGGGGUAUUUUGAACAUGGUCUUAAUCAUAAGCCCUUUUAUUAUAUUCUUGAAUAUGAGGCAAUUUUAUGGGGUGUUUUGUUUACUAAUAUUUGAUUUUAGUUUAUGUGUAGGGUCACCAUUGGAGCCUGGACCCACAACAACCUUGCUAGAUAGAAAGUUGUUGGUGUUCAUUCUUGAUAGGCUUCAAAAUUGAGUCAUUUUUGUUUUGCUUUUAUGAAUAGAAUACAUCUUAUUUGUUGUAUUGUUUCUUGAUUCAUAGAGCUUUAUUUAUGGUUAUUUAAACUCUUAUGCAGGAAGGAUACUCAUGCCGUUUUAUCUGAACCUGUCAAUCUGACUGAGCUUUUGGUGAUGCUAGAGGAUCACUACAAGAGUGCAUACAAUAUUAGUUGUGUGGGUGCCAGGGAUGGACACAAAACUGGUCUUCGCCUGCUGAAGUCACCAGAGACUGGAGUAGUUUUAAUUAGCCAGAUCUCUAGCAGCAACUCCAGCUUCAAAGACUUGCAACCCCAUCAAGGACCCCGACGAUACCAUCAACAACUAAAAGACAAUUGUUUGAAUUUCCUGUAUGUAAACCAUUAUGUCUUACUUCAGUUAUACCCAUACAUAAGUACUAGCCAAUUUUCUAAUAUCGGGAGAAAAUGAAGCUUGUAAUGUGAAUUAGAAGUAGGUAUGUUUGAUGUCUCGAGCUAAUUUUUGAUAUAUUUUCUAGGAUUAUUGUUUCUGUAUGUGCAACUGGCAAGUGGCACCAAAUGGAGAAGAUGCUUUGACAAUAUUCGUGGCUCUUGAUAACUUUGAUUAUGAACAAAGUAGAAAGGAUGACAGAUCUGUAUUAGUAUGACUUGAUUAGACUGUUGUUUUACUCCAUCUGUUGAACCAUUUAAGUAAAGACGCAGAAGAUUUUGAUUUAUUGAUAAUCUAUGUUUCACA